rnacentral:lncRNA from 1 species
AAAGGCAAACGGAGCUGGGAGGACAUGAGGUUGUCUGGGCCAACAACUGAAGAGUAUCACUUGACUUGCAUGAGGCAC